AAGGGAGACCUAAUUCAGGUAUGGGACGAAAAAAAAGUAGUCGCUACCAAGAAUCAAUCCCAAAAGGUCGGAGCGAGGCGAAAUUGGCUUUCAAACUAGGUUCUGGGUUCACACAAGACCUGAAUCAGGAACAAGGGCUAUUAGCUCAGGUGGUUAGAGCGCACCCCUGAUAAGGGUGAGGUCCCUGGUUCGAGUCCAGGAUGGCCCACCUGCACAGGUGGCAAAAACAAGAGAAGCUCCGAAUCAGCACCUUAUCUUACUUAUAUAGUAAGAGAGAAUGCUGGCUCUGAGUACAGAGUCCAGAGGAACCUUGAAAACUGCAUAGAGCUAGGUGAAAAAGCCAAAAAAGAAGACCGCAA
rnacentral:tRNA from 1 species